rnacentral:tRNA from 1 species
AAAUAAGAAGCAAAAUUUGCAUUUAGUUUCGACCUAAAAAUAUGAUAGAAAUAUUCUAUCCUUAUUUA